AAAAGGUACUCCGGGGAUAACAGGCUGAUACCGCCCAAGAGUUCAUAUCGACGGCGGUGUUUGGCACCUCGAUGUCGGCUCAUCACAUCCUGGGGCUGAAGUCGGUCCCAAGGGUAUGGCUGUUCGCCAUUUAAAGUGGUACGCGAGCUGGGUUUAGAACGUCGUGAGACAGUUCGGUCCCUAUCUGCCGUGGGCGUUGGAAGAUUGAAGGGGGCUGCUCCUAGUACGAGAGGACCGGAGUGGACGAACCUCUGGUGUUCGGGUUGUGUCGCCAGACGCAUUGCCCGGUAGCUAAG
rnacentral:rRNA from 1 species